AGUACUACGCCGGAUGAACGGAAAUCAUUGAUGUUGAUUAAUACGGGAUUAGGAAAUAUCUCUAGUGCUA
rnacentral:tRNA from 1 species